rnacentral:misc_RNA from 1 species
GUUAAGACAAGGAGCAGUUGGACAUAUGUCGUCUUCAGUUCACAGCUCCAUUUUUUAACUCUUCCAUUGUUGCCAGUCACCUCUACCAAAACCAUUACCAACGCGUCUAACACCACCAUCACUGCCGCCUAGGGUUUUACAUUUUUCCUCCGCUUCCAAGCCUUUCACAGCUAAGAGAAUACAAUUCUUUUAACUGUUAUUAUUAUUAUUAAAUGCCUUCCAGAUCCACACGCUAAAAUACUACUCGAACAGAAGAGAGAGAAAUUGUGUGUCUCUCUCUCUCUGAUUGUCGCAUCUGAGUCUAUAAUUUGACGGAGUUAACUUUAAUAUGGGGCAAGAGAACUUCACUACCCAGAAGAGAGCUAGCGGCGGCGGAGGAGGAGGCCUGCCCACCAUAACCGCCAACGGCAGAGGAGGCCGUGCAACUAUGCCGCGCAGCAGGCAGAUUCAUAAGACCUUCAAUAACAUCAAGAUCACUAUUCUUUGUGGCUUCGUCACCAUUCUCGUCCUCCGUGGUACCAUCGGCAUUGGCAAUCUCACCAGCUCUGAGGAGGAAGCUAUCAACCAGAACCUCAUCGAGGAGACUAACCGGAUUCUGGCCGAGAUCCGCUCCGACAACGACCCUACCGACCCGGAUGAGCCGCCCGAGGCCGAGAUCAACUCCAAUGUCACUUACACGUUAGGCCCCAAACUCUCUAACUGGGACGAGGAACGCAAGGUAUGGCUUAGCCAAAACCUCGAGUUCCCUAAUUUUGUGAAUGGGAAGCCUAGGAUUUUGCUUUUGACCGGGUCGCCUCCUAACCCCUGUGAUAACCCGAUUGGGGAUCAUUACUUAUUAAAAGCUAUAAAGAAUAAGAUCGACUAUUGUAGGAUUCAUGGGAUUGAGAUUGUUUAUAAUAUGGCUCAUUUGGAUAAGGAAUUAGCUGGGUACUGGGCGAAAUUACCCAUGAUUAGGAGAUUGAUGCUGUCGCAUCCUGAAGUGGAGUGGAUUUGGUGGAUGGAUAGUGAUGCAAUGUUUACUGAUAUGGUUUUUGAGAUCCCGUUAUCCAAGUACGAUAAGCAUAAUUUGGUGAUUCAUGGGUAUCCUGAUUUGUUGUUCGAACAAAAAUCAUGGAUUGCUUUGAACACUGGGAGUUUCUUGUUUAGGAAUUGUAAGUGGAGCUUGGAUUUGCUUGAUGCCUGGGCUCCAAUGGGUCCUAAGGGGCCAAUAAGGGAGGAGGCUGGCAAAAUUUUGACUGCAAAUUUGAAGGGGAGGCCAGCAUUUGAGGCUGAUGAUCAGUCAGCUUUGAUUUACUUACUUCUUUCACAAAAGGAUCAGUGGAUGGAUAAGGUGUAUAUUGAGAAUCAAUAUUAUUUGCAUGGGUAUUGGGCAGGGUUGGUGGAUAGGUAUGAGGAGAUGAUUGAGAAGCACCAUCCAGGAUUGGGUGAUGAGAGGUGGCCUUUUGUGACUCAUUUUGUUGGUUGCAAGCCUUGUGGGAGCUAUGGGGAUUAUCCUGUUGAACAGUGCUUGAGAAGCAUGGAAAGGGCUUUCAAUUUCGCUGAUAACCAGGUGCUUAAGUUAUACGGUUUUGGGCAUAGGGGACUAUUGAGCCCCAAGAUCAAGAGGAUCAGGAAUGAGACAGUAACUCCAUUGGAGUAUGUAGACCAGUUUGAUAUUCGCCAUUCAGUACAUGGAAACAGCAGGUCAGGGAGCUAGUGAGUGAAAUAUGUUCACUGUGUCAUAAUUUGUAGGCAAUGUAAUUCCUCAGUUGAAGGCAGAUAUAAAUUUGAUAGCAAUCUACAUUUAAGUAAGUUUUUCCUUGCUAUGUUGUCUUGGUUAUGCUUCUGAGAUAAAAAAAGGAUAGAAUUCUUUUAUUGGCAUCAACUUUGUCUUCCUUCUUGUUCGAGUAAUCAAUGAAGGAAAUUUAUAAACAAGAGCUACAGUAUGGUUGUCCUCCUUCAUUUCUCUUCUUAUUUGGGUAAUGACUUGUUUAUUUUCCUUUGUACUCAUUCUUCUGGAAUGUAAAUGAUAAGAAUAUUGUGUACGAUUAUAGAAAAUUGCAGUCGGGAGAAAAUUUGAAAUCCUCAGUUUGUCAUUCAAAUUAUUGAUUUGGAUGAGAGUGUUUUAUUUAUGUGAUUAACUUUAUGCUAUUUUUGAAAAAAAUCAUAUAGAUGUUCUGAAAUUUUCCACAUUGCACC